rnacentral:sRNA from 1 species
GCGCCACUCACCCUGGCGAUAACCAAAAUCAUAAACAAAUUCCUCUUUGACAGGUCGAUAGUGAUAUCGGCCUUCUUUUU